GUGGGGAAUCUUGCGCAAUGGGCGAAAGCCUGACGCAGCCAUGCCGCGUGAAUGAUGAAGGUCUUAGGAUUGUAAAAUUCUUUCACCGGGGACGAUAAUGACGGUACCCGGAGAAGAAGCUCCGGCUAACUUCGUGCCAGCAGCCGCGGUAAUACGAAGGGGGCUAGCGUUGCUCGGAAUUACUGGGCGUAAAGGGCGCGUAGGCGGACAGCUUAGUCAGAGGUGAAAGCCCAGGGCUCAACCUUGGAAUUGCCUUUGAUACUGGCUGUCUUGAGUUUGGGAGAGGUGAGUGGAACUCCGAGUGUAGAGGUGAAAUUCGUAGAUAUUCGGAAGAACACCAGUGGCGAAGGCGACUCACUGGCCCAAUACUGACGCUGAGGCGCGAAAGCGUGGGGAACAAACAGGAUUAGAAACCCUUGUAGUCC
rnacentral:rRNA from 1 species